rnacentral:tRNA from 1 species
UCCUGGUUAGCUCAGUUGGUAGAGCGCUUCAGUUGGAAAUGGAGUGGUCUGUGGUUCGAUACCAUGACCAGGCG